rnacentral:misc_RNA from 1 species
CAUGAAGAACGCAGCGAAAUGCGAUACGUAAUGUGAAUUGCAGAAUUCAGUGAAUCAUCGAGUCUUUGAACGCACAUUGCGCCCCCUGGUAUUCCGGGGGGCAUGCCUGUCCGAGCGUCAUUGCUGCCCUCAAGCACGGCUUGUGUGUUGGGCCUCCGUCCUCCUCCCGGGGGACGGGCCCGAAAGGCAGCGGCGGCACCGCGUCCGGUCCUCGAGCGUAUGGGGCUUCGUCACCCGCUCUUGUAGGCCCGGCCGGCGCUUGCCGACACAUCAAUCUUUUUUCCAGGUUGACCUCGGAUCAGGUAGGGAUACCCGCUGAACUUAAGCAUAUCAAUAAGCGGAGGA